UGUAUGUUUGGGGUGAAAUAUGACAUUUGUCUGUGAGAUUCUCUCGUGCUCGUGUGUGUGGCAUUGUAGAUAUAACAUCACGGAUGAGCGAAACGCAGCUGUUUUUUACACACGAAGCUGCUUUAAUCCCAGAAUUCCUUCAGCUGAUGUCAGACCUACAGAUGUAAAGCACACGGUACAGACGGCUCUAAACCAGUUUAGCAGAGCUGUGUGUGACGAGUGUAGCGUGUAGCAGACGCCGCGUGUGUGUGAAUGUAGCGUGAUCUGGUGCUCGGUGUCGUGUACUUCCUGUUCUCUCCACAUCUCUUCGCUAUUUCACUGUGUGUUCAUGCUGACGCUGUAGGUUUUCUCGUCCCGUCUGUCUCUGAAUGUGUAACGGCAGCCAAUCACGCGUGUCUCCUGUAAACCACAUGAUGCUGUGCUCAUUCAUAAAUGUAUCUUGUAAAACAUGAUAGACGCAUCCGAACUGACUUUUCUCUAAUAAACAUCCUGUUUGAACUGCUUCUGUGACCUUUGACCUUUUUUUUACUAUUCCACUGUCACAUAGCUCCUUCCACUGUUACCACGGUUACCGUGGAACCUGUUUAUAACUGGCUGUGUCUGUCUGUCUUGUUGCCUAGGCAACAGCUGCCCUGAGUUCCACCCAGCCGGACAGAUUAAAGAGAUUCAAAGGCACGGUGGGCGGGGCAAGUGCAGCAGAGGCCCCGCCCCCUCUCCUUCCCCCCAGCAGAGGACGGCGCUGCUGUCACAGGAGCCGCUGCGGGAAUCUCUGGACAUCUUGACGUCUGUCGAGUACAGCAGAUGUGAGCUGCAGCCUCGGCCCAGCCGGAUCCCGGUGCGGAGAGAGCCUCCUCUGACCGAGACGCCCAGCCUGAGAGUGUGGAAACUCAUCAAACCCGGCGUCGAGACACACCCGGCGGGUCAGAGUCGCUCUUAACCCUAUAGAGCCUGGGUCAUAUCUGAUGCACACAUUCCAAGCCUCGGAGUGAUCAAAAUGUGUUUUAAUUUCAGUGUAAUUGUAGAA